rnacentral:rRNA from 1 species
UACGGAGGGUGCGAGCGUUGUUCGGAAUUACUGGGCGUAAAGGGCUCGUAGGCGGCCAACUAAGUCAGACGUGAAAUCCCUCGGCUUAACCGGGGAACUGCGUCUGAUACUGGAUGGCUUGAGUUUGGGAGAGGGAUGCGGAAUUCCAGGUGUAGCGGUGAAAUGCGUAGAUAUCUGGAGGAACAUCGGUGGCGAAGGCGGCAUCCUGGACCAACACUGACGCUGAGUGAGCGAAAGCCAGGGGAGCAAACGGG